rnacentral:rRNA from 1 species
AGAGUUUGAUCAUGGCUCAGAAUGAACGCUGGCGGCGUGCCUAACACAUGCAAGUCGGAUGUGCCGCAAGGUGCAUGGCAGACGGGUGAGUAACGCGUGGGGAAUCUACCUUUUUGUGGGGAAUAACGUUCCGAAAGGAAUGGUAAUACCGCAUAAGACCAAUGGCUGGGAUGCUGUUGGUGAAAGCUGGGGACCGCAAGGCCUAGCGCGAGAAGAGGAUCCUGCGUCUGAUUAGCUAGUUGGUGAGGUAACGGCCCACCAAGGCAACGAUCAGUAGCCGGCCUGAGAGGGUGAUCGGCCACACUGGAACUGAGACACGGUCCAGACUCCUACGGGAGGCAGCAGUGGGGAAUUUUGCGCAAUGGGCGAAAGCCUGACGCAGCAACGCCGCGUGGGUGAUGAAGGUCUUCGGAUCGUAAAACCCUGUCGUCAGGGACGAAGGUUUGGGGGUUAAUAACCCUUAAGCUUGACGGUACCUGGAGAGGAAGCCCC